GAGAGGAGGGGAAGCCCUGCUAAGGCUUCGCGCUGGCCAGCGAUCUUCUCCCAGGAUCUCCAGGAAGAAAAUCGGGAAUCGGGAAUUCUUCUUCCCUACGGGGCCGAGUCCCUGGAAGCCUCCUAGACACAGUGUGCGCAUGCGUGUGCGCACGUGCCCGUGUCGCGGGGAGGUGGCCGGGGUGCCGGGGAGGUUUCCCAGAUCGCUGUCCGGUUCGAGGCCUGCUCGGUCUCGCGGGCUCUCAGCCCCAGCCUCCCUUGCCCGGCCCCGGCCCCACUGCCAGCCGCCGGCCACAGCCGUUUGUUGUGGCAGAUGUUCGGCUGUGCCAUGGCGACGCCAGAACAGGAUGUACCUCUGGAUCGCGUCAGGGACCAGCCCACGCUCACGGGCCGCCCACGCCGUUCCCUUCCCCGGAGGCUUGUUGUGAAGAACCACGCGGGUCUGGGUCGGGGUGGGGGGACGGACGGUGUUUGCAUCUGGAGAGAGGCAGAGGCAGGGUCCUCCGAGUGGGCAGGGGAGGGGGAGCGUAUGUGUGCGCAUCCCAGCCGAGUACCUACCCGCUCUGCUCUCCAGAGCCGUGCACAGGAAGCAGGGUGGGGAGGAGAGCCGUCCAUCAGCGGCGUCUGAUCUGUGGGCGUCUGGCCGGAGACCAGCGUCCUCCCCGCUGGAGCAUUACUCUGUGUCGGGCCAGUGAAACUUGAGUCCCAGGGAGGUGAAGUCCCUUGCUCCAGGUCACAGAAUAGGUGAGUCAGGGAGCUCGUGCUGGGACCCCGGCCUGCCUUGUUCCGAAGCCCUUGGUUGGAAGGGGGAUCCUGCCGGGGCUGGCUACAUGAUUUGCAGGGCCCAACGCAAAAUGGAAAGGCCUGGUCUUUGUCGAGGAAUUACGGGGAUUUCAGAAGAGCGAUAGCGGAGACUUAGGCCAAUCGCGAUGCCCUUGUUAAGUGCAGAGCCCUGUGCCGCGGACCACGAAGCCAGCCCUGGACGCUUCCCUGCCACGCCAAAUACUCAGAGGGUGGGCCUGAGCGGCCUGGAGAAGCUCACAGACCAGGGUAGUGAGGCACUACCAUCCGGGAUCUCCCUGUCCAUUCCCGGGCCGUGCUAGCUCGUCAGAGGGGCCCAAAGACCUUCCCCCGCAAAAUGCCUAGCCCAGUCCCCUGGAACCAGGAGCCUGGGAGCUUGUCCUGCGAAUCGUAGCUCAAUACAAAAGCAUCCUUUCAUUAGCUCUUUAUGUUUCCCUUUUUAAUUUUAUUUAUUUAUUUUUGUAAAAGUUUGUAUUUAAGUAAUCUCUGUACCCCCACAUGGGGCUCCAAUUCGCAACCCUGAGAUCAAGAGUCACAUGCUUUCUGACUGAGCCAGCCAGGCGCCCCCCCCCCUUUUUUAAUAAAAGUAACACAACCCUGCUUGCUGCACAGAUGUUGGAAAAUAGGUAAAAGGAGGAAAAAACAUAAACCUUGAAUCCUACCUGUCCAACUCCAUUUCUGUUAGCAGGUGGUAUAUUUCCUUCUUGUCUUUUGCAAGAGGGUUUUCUGUCAGGACCCCCCAGGGAUGAAAUAGAUGGCCUCCUCUUUGUCCCCAAGGCAUGACACAUGGCCGGGGAGCUGAGAAUGGGGGAAGAAUGCAAGAAUGGAUGGAUGUGCUAAAGGGACCUUGCUUGGGUGACCUUUCAGAUUCUUUUGGACUCUGAGCAACUCAGGAUUCUUAGAGUCAUAGCUAAUGCCCCGUAUUGACCUAAGUUUCAGUCAAAUGUGCCAAGCCCUUGCUGGGGUCCAGGUGGUGACAGACACUGCCCUUGCCCCGGAGGAACUUGGUUUAGGCAGGCAUGGGUGUCCCCAAACUUUCUAGGCCUUAGUGAAUGAAACUACGGUUCACUGUCACAGCGUAUUUCAUUCAUUUGCUCACUCGUUCACAAUCGUGAGGUAUUUAUUGAGCACCUGCUAUGCUAAGCAUUGCACUAAGUACACGGUGGGCUAUUAUCUUUGGGGAGAGGGUGGUGGGGUAGAAAGUAGAUGAAUUUGGAGUCAGACACCCUGGACCUCUGUCCCUUUCUGGCUGUGGGGCUCUGACCCAUACUCCCUAACCCUCUGAGCUUCCAACCCUCGUUUGUAAAACGGGCUCAUAUCUGCUGUGCGGACCACCGCUUGUCAGUAGUAGGUGCUCGGUGUACGUUACUUCCUUCCUGCCUCCCUCCCCUCCGUCCCUCCUGCCCAGUACCAACAAUAACGGCCACCGUCGAUUCGGCGUGGACGGUGUGCCAGGCAAAAGGGGGUUCCGUACAUUAUUGGCUAAUUCUCAAAUCACCGGCUCCAUGAGGUAGGUAACAUUGUUCUUAACCCAUUGAUAUCCGAUUUCAAAACUAGAGGGAGCUCACCACCUCCAACAUACCACCUGCAGGAGAACGUGUCUCUUAGCACCAGGGCCCCCUGCAUCCUUUUCUGUGCCCGGAGGCUGCUUGUGCCAACACCAACAUUUUAUCUGCUGGAACCGUGUACAACAAGAGGACCUUCGAGCUGAAAUGGGACCCUUUAUAGAUAUACUUCAGGAUGCACGAGCAGUUUCCCUUUAAAGGCAAAAAAAAAAAAACAAAACAAAAAACAAAACAAAACCCAAAAAUGGUGGAUACGACUUGGGCAAGAGACACACACCUUAUGUUGUCCAAAUAGCCUUUGGAGCUGGACGUAGGUCAGAUUUCCCAGGGGCGGGAGGGAGGCUUCAUUUCUGACUCCUGUGCUUUCUUGCUGACACCUAUAGGGAGAUCAAGAAUGCAGCUUCAGCUUGCUUGGCAAGGUUUUAGGUGGGGAAGAAGCAGUACUGACUGGCUUCACCGCUUUCCACAUGUGACCACGGGCCAAUCACUUACACUCUGCAGGCCCGUCUCUUCACGCGUAAACUGCGGGUAACAUCAACAGGGCUGUCUGAAGGACUCAGUGGGACUCCUUCCGUGAAGUGCUGGGUACACAGAAGGACCAGUAGAAUCUGCUCCCUACCGCUGGGGCACAGGGUGCGUGGCUGGUCUUUCCUGGGCAGGAGGCGUCUUUAGGAAGGGCUUCCCCUCCCACUGCCUUCCGAAAUGCCGUUCUCCAAGCUCUGCCUUCUGGAGUCCCCUCCAAGCAUCUUGCCAAGAGGGGCUUCUCUGGGCGUAAACACAAACAGGCAGGAGCGUCCUCGUGUGCAAAACUACCCCCCCGGCUGGAGGCGUGAUCUGGGAUCUCGCUCCACCUCAGGACUGUUACUCUUGGGGGUGAAAUCGGGGUAAAGUCAGCCAAUUGUAGGAACAUUCUGCUAGGGCCCUGGGUAAAUGAGUAUCUGGUGGGUUUUGGCAACACCCCCGCAUUCUGUUAGAGGGAUGUGGGUGUUGUCUCUAGAAAGCAUGCAUGGAAUGUGAUUGUAACCAGCUAAGUGGAAGCCUGCUCCACUGUGUCACAUUCUUAUUUUGAUGGUGUUUGAACUUGGCCUUUAGAAUUCCCAGGGAAUCCAUCGGGAACAUACAGAGUGCUGGGCCUGAUCCCUGGGCUCUGAUUCAUAUUUGGAGCCUGAAGAGAAUUUAUGAGGUGUCUCCAGCCUUGCCAACGAAGACUGUCCUGAACCAUGACCCUCGGUGGUUUGAUUUCAAAAACAUCUUACAGAAAGGACUGCCCCGCAGCUUCCUGGCGUGGCCCAUUAGAACCACCUCCCCAAACCUUCUGCUUUGAUUUCAUACUCAAGAAGCAAUUCCUGACCAUAGUUUGGCUUCAAAUGUAGAUUCGCCUAGAGGACUCAAUGUGCUAAUUGGCAAGGGAGAGUAAUCUGACCUGCUUGACGGCUAAUAAUUCUUGUUCUAAAGUAAUCAGCUUGCAUUCCGGUUUAUCCAUCUGUCUUCUGGGAGUCCAGGUGACAGACCCAGCAAGCCGGGGUGAACUCAACAAAGUAUUUCGCGGAUCCACAGGCACUGGAAUUCAGUGGUCGCGCCAAGGUCCCUGUGGCAGACGGUGCUGCCCGCCAAGCACGUGUGCCCGUACACCUCCCGGCGGUCUGGACGUGUGAUGUAUUGCGUCCAAAGGCCGUGAAGAAUGAGAGUCCCCAUGCUCUUUCCCCCGACUGCACAGCCAGAAGCAAAGAACACCAAGAUAGCACAGGGUUUAAAACGCCAAGUAGCUCAGCUUCAUGAGUCACCAAGGCUGGAGAGCCACCCAAAGGUCCUGACCUGCCAUGGAUUGUGACCUGGGCGUGAGAUAAGCCUCUGUUGUGUGUAGCAACUGAAGUUCCCUGGGAUUCCUGCCUCGGUCGCUAGCGAUAAUUAGCCUCCACAGUCCCCUCCCCCGUGACGUGUGGCUGGCAUAGCUUAGGUGGGUCUGAGGAGCUAGUUAGCUGUCUUCUGCUUGUGCAAGAAGAGACACCAGCCAGCGUCCAAGUCCCAUGACCACCCGCAAGUGGGCCUGUUCUUCCUCACUGACAAAACCAGGAGGAAAACCAGACAAUUCCUGGAGGAGCUCACAUUUCUGCCCUUGGUUCUUUCUUCGGUCUAACGUGUCUGGGUUUUUCGUACAGGGCUUAGCGCACAGUAGGUGCUCAGUAAAGACUGGCUGUCGGGAUGACGCAGCUAUGUCUGACUGUCUUGGCAAGGAUUGAAGAAGCAGUUUCCUUUUGCACAAGUUCAUAGGUCAUCAAACACGUAUAAAGAAAAAGUUUAUUCUCAUCACGAGAAGCACACGAACUAUUACAGUACGCACCAACAGAAGAAAAAGUGCGUUAUGCAUCUUCUACUGCAAAUUCACAGUACAAAAGAUACUGCCUUUUAAAUAUAUAUAUAUA